CUUGCCUGACUCAACACGUGGUUGAGGUGUAUAUCAAGAUACAUGGAAACCAGGAGACUUGCUUGGGUAGCUGACAGCUGUCCUAGAAGAUGGCUUGGCGGACAAGCAGGUUGACGAAGCACUUGUGUGUAGCUGCCACUUCAACCCUCAAGAUCUUUUGCUUGGAGAACGGGCUAGAACGUCACCACAUGCCGCACCGUCAAUAGCAGUCGUGGAAGGUAAACUUGAUAGGCGGCCGGCGCGCGCCCAUCG